GAACCGCUCUGAAACAACCCAGAUUCACCCCGAAAGCGCCGAACAGCCCCCCGACAGCCCCGAAGAUAGAUGUAGGAUUGAAUGAGGAAGGUGGAAGGUUUGAAUGAUGGAGGGUCUCCAUGAAGAAGGAACCGGCGCAGGGGAAGAAAGAA